AGCUCUGUAAGCGUAUACCAAAGUUGUUGCAGUUAAAACGCUCGUAGUCGAACUUUGGCGUCAGAUACUGAGACUCCUACUGGACGUUGACGUAUCUACGCCUUUGUGGAGGGGGGUACGGUGGUGCUUUAUUGUAUUGCCGUAUUUCCGCCACUUUUUACUGUGAAAAAAUUAGAGUGUUCAAAGCGAGCGUUUGCCAUGAAUACAUUAGCAUGGAAUAAUAGAAUAGGACCUGGUCCUGUUUUAUUGGUUUGUCAGUAUCAGGUAAUGAUUAACAGGGACGGUCGGGGGCAUUUGUAUUCCAGCGCUAGAGGUGAAAUUCUUGGAUUGCUGGAAGACAAACAGCUGCGAAAGCGUCUGCCAAGGACGUUUUCA
rnacentral:rRNA from 1 species